rnacentral:rRNA from 1 species
AGAGUUUGAUCCUGGCUCAGAUUGAACGCUGGCGGCAUGCCUUACACAUGCAAGUCGAACGGCAGCACGAGAGCUUGCUCUUGGUGGCGAGUGGCGAACGGGUGAGUAAUAUAUCGGAACGUACCCUAGAGUGGGGGAUAACGUAGCGAAAGUUACGCUAAUACCGCAUACGAUCUACGGAUGAAAGUGGGGGAUCGCAAGACCUCAUGCUCAUGGAGCGGCCGAUAUCUGAUUAGCUAGUUGGUGGGGUAAAAGCUCACCAAGGCGACGAUCAGUAGCUGGUCUGAGAGGACGACCAGCCACACUGGAACUGAGACACGGUCCAGACUCCUACGGGAGGCAGCAGUGGGGAAUUUUGGACGAUGGGCGCAAGCCUGAUCCAGCAAUGCCGCGUGAGUGAAGAAGGCCUUCGGGUUGUAAAGCUCUUUUGUCAGGGAAGAAACGGUGGACUCUAAUACAGAUCACUAAUGACGGUACCUGAAGAAUAAGCACCGGCUAACUACGUGCCAGCAGCCGCGGUAAUACGUAGGGUGCAAGCGUUAAUCGGAAUUACUGGGCGUAAAGCGUGCGCAGGCGGUUGUGCAAGACAGAUGUGAAAUCCCCGGGCUCAACCUGGGAAUUGCAUUUGUGACUGCACGGCUAGAGUGUGUCAGAGGGGGGUAGAAUUCCACGUGUAGCAGUGAGAUGCGUAGAGAUGUGGAGGAAUACCGAUGGCGAAGGCAGCCCCCUGGGAUAACACUGACGCUCAUGCACGAAAGCGUGGGGAGCAGACAGGAUUAGAUACCCUGGUAGUCCACGCCCUAAACGAUGUCUACUAGUUGUCGGGUCUUAAUUGACUUGGUAACGCAGCUAACGCGUGAAGUAGACCGCCUGGGGAGUACGGUCGCAAGAUUAAAACUCAAAGGAAUUGACGGGGACCCGCACAAGCGGUGGAUGAUGUGGAUUAAUUCGAUGCAACGCGAAAAACCUUACCUACCCUUGACAUGUCUGGAAUCCUUGAGAGAUCAGGGAGUGCUCGAAAGAGAAUCAGAACACAGGUGCUGCAUGGCUGUCGUCAGCUCGUGUCGUGAGAUGUUGGGUUAAGUCCCGCAACGAGCGCAACCCUUGUCAUUAGUUGCUACGAAAGGGCACUCUAAUGAGACUGCCGGUGACAAACCGGAGGAAGGUGGGGAUGACGUCAAGUCCUCAUGGCCCUUAUGGGUAGGGCUUCACACGUCAUACAAUGGUACAUACAGAGGGCCGCCAACCCGCGAGGGGGAGCUAAUCCCAGAAAGUGUAUCGUAGUCCGGAUUGUAGUCUGCAACUCGACUACAUGAAGUUGGAAUCGCUAGUAAUCGCGGAUCAGCAUGUCGCGGUGAAUACGUUCCCGGGUCUUGUACACACCGCCCGUCACACCAUGGGAGCGGGUUUCACCAGAAGUGGGUAGCCUAACCGCAAGGAGGGCGCUCACCACGGUGGGAUUCGUGACUGGGGUGAAGUCGUAACAAGGUA